rnacentral:rRNA from 1 species
UACGUAGGGUGCGAGCGUUAAUCGGAAUUACUGGGCGUAAAGGGUGCGCAGGCGGAUAAUUAAGUUAGAAGUGAAAUGCCCGGGCUUAACCUGGGAACUGCUUUUAAGACUGGUUGUCUAGAGUUUGUCAGAGGGGGGUGGAAUUCCAAGUGUAGCAGUGAAAUGCGUAGAGAUUUGGAGGAACACCAAUGGCGAAGGCAGCCCCCUGGGAUAAAACUGACGCUCAUGCACGAAAGCGUGGGUAGCAAACAGG